rnacentral:rRNA from 1 species
CUUGGCGGCCAUAGCGCGGUGGUCCCACCUGAUCCCAUGCCGAACUCAGAAGUGAAACGCCG